rnacentral:rRNA from 1 species
CCAAUAGCGUAUAUUAAAGUUGUUGCAGUUAAAAAGCUCGUAGUUGAAUUUCGGGAUCAAGGGAUCGGUCAUGCCUUGGUAUGUACUGGUUUCAUUGGUUCUCACCUUCUAAAGAACCAUGAUGUCAUUCAUUUGAUGUUAUGGGGAAUUAGGACUGUUACCUUGAAAAAAUUAGAGUGUUUAAAGCAGGCUUUACGCUUGAAUACAUUAGCAUGGAAUAAUGAAAUAGGACAUCCGAUUCUAUUUUGUUGGUUUCUAGGAUCGAUGUAAUGAUUAAUAGGGAUAGUUGGGGGCAUUAGUAUUCAAUUGUCAGAGGUGAAAUUCUUGGAUUUAUUGAAGACUAACUACUGCGAAAGCAUUUGCCAAGGAUGUUUUCAUUAAUCAAGAACGAAAGUUAGGGGAUCGAAGACGAUCAGAUACCGUCGUAGUCUUAACCAUAAACUAUGCCGACUAGGGAUCGGAUGAUGUUAAUUUUAUAAUGACUCAUUCGGCACCUUACG